CCAUCCCAGUUCGGAUCGCAGGCUGCAACCCGCCUGCGUGAAGUUGGAAUCGCUAGUAAUCGCGGAUCAGCAUGCCGCGGUGAAUACGUUCCCGGGCCUUGUACACACCGCCCGUCACACCAUGAGAGUCGGGAACACCCGAAGUCCGUAGCCUAACCGCAAGGGGGCGCGGCCGAAGGUGGGUUCGAUAAUUGGGGUGAAGUCGUAACAAGGUACC
rnacentral:rRNA from 1 species